AUUCCGGUUGAUCCUGCCGGAGGACAUUGCUAUUGGGAUUCGAUUUAGCCAUGCUAGUCGAGGGAGUUCAGACUCGCGGCGAAUAGCUCAGUAACACGUGGCCAAGCUCCCCUUCAGUCAGCGAUACCCUCGGGAAACUGAGGUUAACAGCUGAUACAAAACGCCAGCUGGAAUGCGGCGUUUCGGAAAGACACCGCUAAAGGAUGCGGCUGCGGCCGAUUAGGUAGACGGUGGGGUAACGGCCCAGCGUGCCAGUAAUCGGUACGGGUGAUGAGAGUCAGAGCCCGGAGACGGAAUCUGAGACAAGAUUCCGGGCCCUACGGGGCGCAGCAGGCGCGAAACCUUUACACUGCACGGAAGUGCGAUAGGGGAAUCCCAAGUGCGAGGGCAUAUUAGCCCUCGCUUUUCUCGACUGUAAGGUGGUCGACGAAUAAGAGCUGGGCAAGACCGGUGCCAGCCGCCGCGGUAAUACCGGCAGCUCAAGUGAUGUCCCAUAUUAUUGGGGCCUAAAGCGUCCGUAGCU
rnacentral:rRNA from 1 species